AUAUUGUAUCUGUCCAUGACACUGGAAGUUGCAAGCUUAUUUCACCAAGGCUAAAAUGCAAAUAGCUUAUUUUAAACUGACUAUCUGGAUUAGCCUGCAUUUCCCUUAGGACAUUUACUAUCCACAUAGUUAGAUCAUGGUUUAGGACAAGUGUGAGACUGAGGAUGCUAACACCUUAUGACAUCACUAGUGGCUGUGUGUACUAGUUCUUCCAAUAAUUAUGAACAACCUAUACCUUUUUCUUAAAAAGGACUGUUAUUGAAAAAGAAUUGUGCACCUAUUGCCGGAAGCCAUUGGGCACAGAUACUAAGAUGAUUCUGAAAGCCCUACAGAUUUGCUGUCAUGCAACUUGCUUCAAGUGUGAAGUCUGCAAAGCAACUUUAGAAAACCUGAAGGCAGGAGAUAGUAUUUGGAUUUACAAGAACACAGUGCACUGUUCACCAUGUUAUUCUAAGGUUAAAGCCACAUGGACUUACUAAUCAUUAAUGAACUCUGAUCAAGCAUGUGCUCAGAUAUUCUAGCUAUCUUUAUUUAUAUCUGAAAGUUGUAUGUUCUUUUAGAAUAAGAUAUUUCAAAAAUAUUAUCCACAUUAAGCAUUUGAGCAUAAAAUAUGAUAGACCAUUUCUAAAUGAAAGAUGACAUUCUGAAAUGUACCUAGAAGAUGUUUUCAUUGUUAGCAAGAUAAAUGUCUAAGAUUGUAGCCUCUGGGACUAUUAUAGAUGCAAAGGGUUGUACUGUAAAUACAGCAUAUGAAGUUA